GACGAACGCUGGCGGCGUGCUUAACACAUGCAAGUCGAACGGAAAGGCCCUGCUUUUGUGGGGUGCUCGAGUGGCGAACGGGUGAGUAACACGUGAGUAACCUGCCCUUGACUUUGGGAUAACUUCAGGAAACUGGGGCUAAUACCGGAUAGGAGCUCCUGCUGCAUGGUGGGGGUUGGAAAGUUUCGGCGGUUGGGGAUGGACUCGCGGCUUAUCAGCUUGUUGGUGGGGUAGUGGCUUACCAAGGCUUUGACGGGUAGCCGGCCUGAGAGGGUGACCGGCCACAUUGGGACUGAGAUACGGCCCAGACGCCUACGGGAGGCAGCAGUGGGGAAUAGUGCACAAUGGGCGGAAGCCUGAUGCAGCAACGCCGCGUGCGGGAGGACGGCCUUCGGGUUGGAAACCGCUUUCGCCUGUGACGAAGCGUGAGUGACGGUAAUGGUAAAGAAGCACCGGCUAACUACGUG
rnacentral:rRNA from 1 species